UACGUAGGGGGCUAGCGUUGCUCGGAAUUACUGGGCGUAAAGCGCACGUAGGCGGGUCGAUAAGUCGGGGGUGAAAUCCUGGAGCUCAACUCCAGAACUGCCUUCGAAACUGUCGAUCUUGAGUUCGGGAGAGGUGAGUGGAACUGCGAGUGUAGAGGUGAAAUUCGUAGAUAUUCGGAAGAACACCAGUGGCGAAGGCGGCUCACUGGACUGGUAUUGACGCUGAUGUGCGAAAGCGUGGGGAGCAAACAGG
rnacentral:rRNA from 1 species